rnacentral:rRNA from 2 species
CCCUAGUAACGGCGAGUGAAGCGGGAACAGCUCAAAUUUGAAAUCUGGCCCUUGGGUCCGAGUUGUAAUUUGCAGAGGAUGCUUUUGGUGCGGUGCCUUCCGAGUUCCCUGGAACGGGACGCCUUAGAGGGUGAGAGCCCCGUACGGUUGGCCACCAAGCCUGUGUAAAGCUCCUUCGACGAGUCGAGUAGUUUGGGAAUGCUGCUCAAAAUGGGAGGUAUAUUUCUUCUAAAGCUAAAUACUGGCCAGAGACCGAUAGCGCACAAGUAGAGUGAUCGAAAGAUGAAAAGCACUUUGAAAAGAGGGUUAAAUAGCACGUGAAAUUGUUGAAAGGGAAGGAUUUAUGACCAGACUUUUUCUGGGGGGAUCAUCCGGUGUUCUCACCGGUGCACUUCCCCCAGUGGAGGCCAGCAUCGGUUUCUGCCGGGGGAUAAAAGCUUCGGGAAUGUGGCUCCUUCGGGAGUGUUAUAGCCCGUUGCAUAAUACCCUGGCGGGGACCGAGGUUCGCGCAUUGCAAGGAUGCUGGCGUAAUGGUUAUUAAUCACCCGUCUUGAAACACGGACCAAGGAGUCGAAACAUUUGUGCGAGUGUUUGGGUGUUAAACCCUCACGCGUAAUGAAAGUGAACGGAGGUGAGAGCCCCUCGGGGUGCAUCAUCGACCGAUCCUGAUGUCUUCGGAUGGAUUUGAGUAAGAGCAUAACUGUUCGGACCCGAAAGAUGGUGAACUAUGCGUGGAUAGGGUGAAGCCAGAGGAAACUCUGGUGGAGGCUCGCAGCGGUUCUGACGUGCAAAUCGAUCGUCAAAUCUGCGCA